rnacentral:rRNA from 1 species
UACGGGGGGGGCAAGCGUUGUUCGGAAUUACUGGGCGUAAAGGGCGCGUAGGUGGCCAACUAAGUCAGACGUGAAAUCCCUCGGCUUAACCGAGGAACUGCGUCUGAUACUGGAUGGCUGGAGUGUGGGAGAGGGAUGCGGAAUUCCAGGUGUAGCGGUGAAAUGCGUAGAGAUCAGGAAGAACACCGGUGGCGAAAGCGCUCUGCUAGGCCGCAACUGACACUGAGGGACGAAAGCUAGGGGAGCGAAUGGG